rnacentral:rRNA from 1 species
AUCCUGGCUCAGGAUGAACGCUGGCGGCGUGCUUAACACAUGCAAGUCGAACGAAGCACUCUAUUUGAUUUCUUCGGAAUGAUUAUUUGUGACUGAGUGGCGGACGGGUGAGUAACGCGUGGGUAACCUGCCUCAUACAGGGGGAUAACAGUUGGAAACGACUGCUAAUACCGCAUAAGCGCACAGGACCGCAUGGUCUGGUGUGAAAAACUCCGGUGGUAUGAGAUGGACCCGCGUCUGAUUAGCUAGUUGGUGGGGUAAUGGCCUACCAAGGCAACGAUGCGUAGCCGACCUGAGAGGGUGACCGGCCACAUUGGGACUGAGACACGGCCCAAACUCCUACGGGAGGCAGCAGUGGGGAAUAUUGCACAAUGGGCGAAAGCCUGAUGCAGCAACGCCGCGUGAGUGAAGAAGUAUUUCGGUAUGUAAAGCUCUAUCAGCAGGGAAGAAAAUGACGGUACCUGACUAAGAAGCCCCGGCUAACUACGUG